rnacentral:rRNA from 1 species
UACGUAGGGAGCAAGCGUUGUCCGGAAUCAUUGGGCGUAAAGCGCGCGUAGGCGGCCCAGUAAGUCCGCUCUGAAAGCCCGGGGCUCAACCCCGGGAGGCGGGUGGAUACUGCUGGGCUCGAGUCCGGAAGAGGCGAGUGGAAUUCCUGGUGUAGCGGUGAAAUGCGCAGAUAUCAGGAGGAACACCGAUUGCGAAGGCAGCUCGCUGGGACGGUACUGACGCUGAGACGCGAAAGCGUGGGGAGCAAACAGG